AGGAAUCUUCCACAAUGGACGAAAGUCUGAUGGAGCAACGCCGCGUGAGUGAAGAAGGGUUUCGGCUCGUAAAGCUCUGGUUGGUAGUGAAGAAAGAUAGAGGUAGUAACUGGCCUUUAUUUGACGGUAAUUACUUAGAAAGUCACGGCUAACUACGUGCC
rnacentral:rRNA from 1 species